rnacentral:lncRNA from 1 species
CUGCAACAACAACCUGCACACGAACAGAAGCUACGACUGCUUGCCUGCUACUUCUCAAAAGAAAUUUAAAUGGUUCAAAAGCCCAUCUAGCAGAAAAACUAAUGCAAGAUAGAUGUGGAGUUUAUAUCGGAGAGUCGUUCAACAGAUGGACGGAGCUUCGUGAGCUCAACUGCAGAACAGAUGAAGAGUUGGCAACGUUUCUUAUGUACAGUUACCAAACCGGAUCAGGGGCUACAACAUCUACUCCUAUAUAUAAAAAAACAACUAUUUCCUGCUGUGCCAACACUAUCGAGCAUCCACGGGGACUUAUCUGAGAGAGAUACCAAUUUUGAACAGGGACUGAACGUCUUGGAGCAAGAGGAAGCCCUUUCUUCAAGAACUGCAGAGUAAGUAAAACAUGUUUAUUAUCUGUGUAGUUGUCACACUGGUCAUUGACAAUGAAAUUAAAAUGUUGUUUUUUGUUUAGUUUACCAUCAGUUGGUUUUCCUGAGGAGGAGUACAACCACACUGUGAGGAUUUGAGCUUGUGUUUACAAAAACAAGUUUAAACCAAAACUUGUGUACAUAAUGCUAAUUUAUAAUGCUAAUGUUUACACACUGUGUUCACAGGACAGGGGCCUCUCUGAGAAGGAAAACAGAUCUGAAUGACCUUCAGUACAUCAGUGAGCAGGACACAGGGAGAGGUCCACAUUACAGAAGUGUUUACUGAUGCCCACUCACAGAUUUCUGCUCUUUCAGUAAGUGUCACCGUAUUUAUGUUAUGAAACUUGUAAUUGGACACAUCUAAAGCAAUUAUAGUUUUAAUUUUUGAAUGUAUAAACCUGACACAGGAAAUGGGAUAUACAAAGACAGAGGUGUGGAGCACACAUGAUAUGUAGCAUGGGUCUAAGAACUUGGGCAAAAAGCUACAUGCAGUAAGUAAAAUUGUGAGCUUUGUAAAAGAUGCUUAUUGUGCAUUUAUACUG